UACGUAGGGUGCGAGCGUUGUCCGGAAUUAUUGGGCGUAAAGAGCUCGUAGGCGGUUUGUCGCGUCGGCCGUGAAAACUUGGGGCUUAACUCCAAGCUUGCGGUCGAUACGGGCAGACUUGAGUUCGGCAGGGGAGACUGGAAUUUCUGGUGUAGCGGUGAAAUGCGCAGAUAUCAGGAGGAACACCGGUGGCGAAGGCGGGUCUCUGGGCCGACACUGACGCUGAGGAGCGAAAGCGUGGGGAGCGAACAGG
rnacentral:rRNA from 1 species